rnacentral:lncRNA from 1 species
GAUCCUCCUCCUUCCUCCAUGGACGUCUUCGGUGACGACGACGACAACGACUCCUCCUCCGCUCCCUCAUGGCGUCUCCGCCUCACCGAGUUCCGCCUCCCUCCCCGCGACCCCCACGAGCCCCACUCUCGCUUCUCCUGCCGCCGCCUAUUCUCUGCUCCGAGUAUGUAUCUAUUUCCCUCUACGGCGCUUUUGACAUUUUCGCUGAUUGAUGGAAAUUGACGAGCUGCGUCCUGUAUAUAUCAUUCUCUGUCAACUUCUCUUGCGAAAGCGCCACCAUGUCUGUGACCGGCCUGCUUCUACUUGGUCCGUGAUUUUGUGUGUAUGUAGGGUUGACUUUUUGGGCUUGGUCCGCCUUGGUAGCUUACCACUGUGGUGAUUGGAACCGAAAAUAACACGUACUUUCAUCGCUUCACGUGUUUGGCCUGUUGUCUUGCUUCUAUUCGCUUAUUUUCGGUGGGGUGGAAUCGGUUCAUUUCUUAGCUACGCUGAGUACGAAGUCGCUUUGGAGCUUCUCUCUCUUCUUCUUUUUUUCCCCUGGUUAUAUUCUUCCAGCCAGAGGUGUCACUGUCAAUCCCCACAAACACAGAUCGGAAGUCAGCGAAGUCUGACUUGUUGCUUCUUUAGACCGUCCGCAUCCAUCCCGGCGCAUCCUCUCAACUUAGCUUUCUGCAAAACCCCACAAAAUUGUUCGAUACAGGGGAAGUCAUCCUGUAAGCGUCAUGUAAGCGAAAUGGAAAUUGGGUAUGGAGCUUUAAAAUGUUUGAGUGACAUGUGAUGGUUACUCUCACCCGUGGUCAAAAUCAGGUCAUACUGUUGGAGAGUCAAGUCAUAUCAUAGAAUGUUAUUGUACUUUCCACCUCACGGGCAGCUGUUUUGAUUUAAGUGCGAACCUUCUUUCUUUGGGUUGUCAGUGCUUAGAUUGUAUUCUAUAAUUUCAAUUCAGGGAAACAGCGCAAGCUAGCAGAAUAUUACAAGAAACAGGAAAGCCUCUUUGAAGGGUACAAUGAGAUGGAAUCCAUGACUGAGUCAGAGGGUUUUCCUGGAAGCCUCACUGAGGUAGAUUCUCUAUAGGUCACAUCUUCUUACAUUUCAGUAGUUGCAGACCUUAGUAUUGUGAAUUCUUACUCCUAGAAAAAGGAGAUUCUUUAGUAUAUCGAAAUGCUUCUCCACUUGGUAGCUCUCAAAGCAAGAGAAACAGUCGUGGAGAUCUUUCACAACUUCUGUUUAAAUUGGAGACUAAACAUGAGUUUAUGAUAUUAUAUUUCAAGUUUUCUAAGAAGAAAUUGUUUCUAAUGAAUGAACUGCAUUUUGUCAGGAUGAAAUGAAGCAGCUCGUAAAGAGUGAAAGAUUUGCAAUCCAUAUUUCGAACUUAGCAAAUAUUGUGCUUUUCAUAGCAAAGGUCUACGCUUCUGUUGAGAGCAGAUCACUGGCGGUUAUCGCAUCAACCUUGGAUUCUUUCUUAGAUCUACUAUCGGGUUUUAUUUUGUGGUUCACGGCAAAUUCAAUGAGGAACCCAAACCAUUAUCGUUACCCCAUUGGUAAGAGGCGGAUGCAACCAGUGGUAUGUUCCCCUGCUUCCUUGGAUAUAAAAUUUGUUGUUGAUUCAUGGGUAAACAUUCUAAUUGAAUCUGACUUUUCUUUGCUCCUACUAAAUUUCACUAGCCUAGCCUAGUUUUAUGACUAUAACUUGAUUCUUCUGUCCUGCCUUCUUUUCUGUUUGUUACGUAGCUUGAUUUACAAUGGCAUCCUCAUUAUUUGAUAGCUUCAGCUAGCUAAAUUUAUGUGAGACUUCAAAAAUAAAAGACGAGCCACUUACUGUGAUAAUGCAUGGCUCUGUUGAAGUACAUCUCCAAAUUAUAGUCAAUUUCCCUUUGCCUCAACAGUUAGCUCACUGAAGAAGGCGGCGUCAGAUAUAGCUUUGUAUAAAGGAGAAACCAGUCGAAAGGAAAAAUAAGACCAUGUCUUUUUUAGAUACUAGGAGCUAAUGACCCCAGUAUUACCACUACAAAUUCUAAAAUAUCUAGAUCAGAAUAAUGUAUUGAUGUAAUCGAUCUUUGUGAUUAAGCUACAAGUCUAAUGGUAUUGACGGCUUGAAAAUGCAGGGUAUUAUUGUAUUUGCUUCAGUAAUGGCAACUCUUGGCUUGCAAAUACUGUUGGAGUCUUUUCGAGAUCUUCUCUCCAAGGCAAGUGAUCUUUCUGUUGCUUGCUUUGUCGUGUCACUUGCAAACAUAUUCAUACAGAGGCUGGCAUAGUCUUGUUUACAGAGCAGUUUGAAUGGGAGGACUAGGUUUUCUAUUGAGUUAACAAUAAUGGAAAGAAGGCUUUGAGUCUCCUCUUCGGACUUGGAUAUCCUAGUCUUACUUUACUAUUAGAACUUACAUUAAGAGGAUAUGAACUUUUUUCUUUUGAUAACCACCGGCCGUGGUGGCUCUGUUGUGUAGGCUUCUGCCUUUGAAGGGAAAGGCUAGGUGUUCGAAGCCCCUGCAACGCAAGUUGCAGGAAGGCUGGCAGACCAUUAGGUGUAUUACGUGUGGCGCCCUAGUGGUGGGUCCUGGGCUAGCGUCACCUGGGGGUUUACGUGGCGACUGUCGGCCAAAGCGGUUCUUCCAAAAAAAAAAAAAAAAAACUUUUUUCUUCUGAUUGAUGUUGCUGCAUCACAGAAUGACCUAUUGGUUCACUCGGUUUGGCUGCCACCUUGCCAGUAACCAUUGUUUUAAGCUGGCGAACUUAAGAUGCAGUUACUAAAGCUUAGACUUCAUCCCAUCCGUCCAGUUCACUUAUCUUAUGCCAUUAUUUUUCAAUCAAAUCUACAUGCAGUCACACUCAAAGACUGAUCGUGGGAAGGAGAAGUGGAUAAUUGGGAUUAUGGUUUCUGUUACAGCGGUGAAGUUUGCCUUGAUGGUCUAUUGUCGAAGAUUCAAGAAUGAAAUUGUCAGAGCCUAUGCUCAAGAUCAUUUUUUUGAUGUUAUAACUAAUUCUGUCGGUCUGGUGGCGGUUGUCCUAUCUAUCCGCUACUAUUGGUGGAUAGAUCCAGUUGGAGCUAUAAUAGUAAGUUCAUCUCGAGCAAUCCUACUUUUAGUUUUUCAAUUGUGUGUUUCUGACUAUUAUAGAAUUACUAUCCCUCUCCAUCCUAUCAAUGGGUUUAUGUUGGGCACAACUUUUCUAAGCCAAAAUAUUACAUACUCUGCAGAUAGCAUUAUAUACCAUAACCACGUGGGCAAGAACGGUGAUUGAGAAUGUACGGUCGCUUAUUGGAAGAACGGCCCCCCCUGAAUUUAUAGCAAAGUUAACAUAUCUCAUUUGGAACCACCAUGAAGAGAUCAAGCACAUUGACACGGUGAGAGCUUACACUUUUGGUUCACAUUACUUCGUGGAGGUGGACAUAGUGUUGCCUCAAGACAUGCUCUUGAACCAAGCCCACAAUAUCGGGGAAAAACUUCAGGAGAAGCUGGAGCAAUUGCCUGAAGUUGAGCGAGCUUUCGUCCAUAUUGAUUUUGAGUUUAGUCACAGGCCUGAGCACAAGAAUAAAGUAUGAGCUAGAUGAUCAUAGCUGACCAUUUAGAGGUAGACGACCAUAUCUGAGCGUUGGGAGGAGAAGCCCAUUCAAAAGCAUUUUAUACCGACUGACAUGUGCUGUAAGAUUAAUUUUUGGCUAAAAUAAUGUUAUUAUUAGUAGAGCUACUUUGGAAAAAAUGCGCCCCCUUUGAAUGGAAUUGUAAUAAUGAGGAGAAGAUCCUUUUCCCAGUGGACGAUGCCAUUUUUAAGUGAAAUGAAACCGCUAUGUUUGGUGGCCUCUCCUUCUACAUGAACAUAAAGAAAGCAUAUAAGGCAUAUCCGAGGAUCAAACUGCAUGAGCUUCGUAAGUAAAAUGCAGGGCUCGAGUUUUUUCUUUUGCUACCACAUUAAUGCUAAUUACAAAUGUGUUGUCAAAGGAACUUCCUGCUUCUCUGAAGAAUCAAUCUGGCAUGGUUUUUCAUUAGGUGAGCAGGAUCUACGGACGUGAUUAAGUUGCCAAUGCCCUACUUCAUAUUUGUCCGUCAUAUGCUUUGUUAUAUGAAUACGUAGAUGUAUACAGAUCUAUUAACAAUAUAAAUGCUGUCUCUAGGAAAGAUGCUAGAAAUAUCAUAAGUCUGUGACAAAACUUGUUCAUAAUUGAAGAUGGGAUAUUCAGAGAGUAACAGAUCAACUACUUCGUUGAUGAGUCUCACUCAUUUCAAUACCCAACAUUCAUGUGUCACAGGUCGGUUGAACACGAUUGAUCAAACAGAUCACCGCGCGGCCUUAGGAUUUGUGAUCCCAAGUCAGCCUACUCACUCACACGCACCACACAAGGGUUGGCUGCACAAGGGGUGAAUGUAUUUCACUAUGAAUGAGCUGAGCUCAAAUGAGGGGGAGGGACCCCUUUUAUACAAGUUCGGGUCAAUUCUCGGCCGUGGAUCGUCCCUCCGAUCCAACGGCUGUGUUUGAACAAUGGCCAUCAUUACAAAUCAACUCAGCAAGCCGCUCAAGGGCUGCAAGCCUUGGGAAACAGCCAUAGGCCAGGCGCAAGUCAGAAGCAAGAUCAGGGGCAGCAUGGACGUGUCAGGGCCAGCAUGGGCGAGCAUGGCUGUUUGACACGGAGCAGGUGAACCACUCCUGGCUUGUGUAAGGGCUGGCCGAGGAUUGAUCAGGAGCUGCUUGCUGGUUGUGCACGGAUCAUUCCCUACAUUGUGCACGGGCGAAUCAGGCACGGAUCGCAGAUCGUGCAAGGGCCGAUUGGUGGAUCGGUCAGGGAUCAAUCAAGGGUCGAUCGGGGACUGAUCAGUGAUCGAUCAGGGAUCGAUCAUGGACUGAUGCGGGAUCGGUUAGGGACUAGUUGGGACAGGGAUCGAUCAGGGCGUUCCCAGCAAUGCCCUGGUGCGUGACAUGGCCGCGCACGGAUGGUCUUGGGCAUGCACCGUCCGUGCUCGGCCGUGUCACAUGCAUCAACUUCUACUUUUCUGGCCAUCAAAUUAGCUUGGCAAAAUAAUAUGACCAAAUCCCUCUCAUUCACCACACCCAAAUGCAGAGCCGAACCUCGUUUCUGAAACUCUGAAGGUCAUUCGUUUCUUUUUCUUCAUUGAUGCUCUGCACUACCAAAAAACAAACUGCAGGAGAUGUAUUUCGCAGGUUUCCUCCCUUUCGUUGAGACGUAUGCCAGGAACAUUGUGGUUUGCUAUUCCAUUAUUAACUGCUAUAGGUCACGACUCUCCUGAAGGUCAACUACUAAGAGAAAAGUGGUGGAUUACUUAGCUCGGACGCUUCGAAGCCCAAUCACAACUUUGAUCCUCAAUUCAAUUGUGCAAUUCAAAUCAUUUUGGAGCUGCCACAACCUAUUAUGGAUCAAAUAGGAAUCCAAGUAAAGCACGUGAGUCUGUUUUAUUUUCGUGAACUAGAGAAUCGUGAGUUUAGGAACUUGACAUUAGAUUAAUCUAACAUCAUUUCAAUACAAUUUUUUUCUCUUUUUAUGAAUGCGUUUGUCAUUCAAUCUUCAUCAUUUUCAUCAUCCUAAAUUGCUAACAUGUGAAAAUAAUCAUAAGAUAAACACCCAAUAAUCAAAGUAGUAAAUAAAUUAACCGCCCCAGUGACACAUCAACCAUGCCCCUUCCCUUUCUCCGAUCAUCAAGCCCUCCCGAUCACUUUCUUUGUCUUUCAUCCCCCUGAACAGCCCGUUCUUUUGAAUUUAAAAAAGAAAACGGGUGAACAUGUUUCCCCUUUGAAGUGGCGAAGGCCUAAUGCCUGAAGUAAGCAAAAAGAUAGGUGAAGGUUACGAAGUAAGUCGGCUGGUUAAGGAAAGCUCAGAUUAUGAAAUCGCUUAGCUGUUAAAUUAAUUAAAUUAAUGAAGUUCCCAUUUCAGGUUUCGGUGACUCUUCCUUCUCUUCUCUUUGGAGUGUGUUCAAGCUUAUGAAUUUGAGCCGAGGCCAAAUAAACGCACUUAGAAUCAUUGGUGAGAUAGAAUUAACUUACCACAAUAGGUAUUUGAUUACAAAUAUAAUAAAGAAGAUCUUCAAGCCUACCUCGAAAGAGUCAAUUGCCCAUUCCCCAUAGUUUUGGAUUCCGUUGUCCCUUUGCGCUUUGAUUAGGCCCACCUGCUGCUUCAUGCAAUAGCACGCUUCAAAGCAAAUGAGCUUCACCAGCUAUACAUGCAAUAGCACGCUCCGAAGCAAACGAGCUUCACCAGCUGUAGCCUUAUGAACUAGUCAAGUAGCUUCUUUCCGGCAAAGCUUACCAAUCCUACACUCCUUUCUCCUAUUCUCUGUCAAGUGGAGCCUUUCAGACAUCGACAAACCAAAAAGAUUCUGUCUCUCAUAAGGAGUCCUAAACAAAUCUACCGUUUUGGACGUACUCAAGGGCUUGGCUUGCCCAAAGGAGCCGCUUCUUACACUUUUCCAAUAGCUUAGUACUCAACAAGGGAAGAGGGAUAGCACUGAGCAACUGGCAAAGUGAAUUAGUCGUUUGAUUUCAAGUUCCACAGUAGGAUAAGGAAAAAUUAAGGAACUUGAAAUGCAUCGAGCAACCCUAAGGAAAGCCAAAUCAUUGAUCCCCAAGAUGGGAGCCUUGUAAACUAUCAGUCAGAACAUAACGAUGCAAUGAUAUAAUCUGGCCUACAUGUGAUGUAUACAACUUUUAUGAUUAUGUAUGGAACCUAAUCUAAUCUUUUUGGUUUUUUCUUCCUUUAAUUACCAUGACAAAUUCAAAAUUAUCUCUUAAUAUACCACAUGGCCGAAACUCUACAUGCAUGCAUAACUUGAAUUACCAGAUGAAAUGCAUGAUGAAUAACAUGAAUUAAUCCUAUCAUGCAACAAUUAACUAGACAUAACCUAAACGAGACAUUAAACUAAUUUCUUUUGUGGUUCUUUUUCUUUGAUUAAUGAAUGCAAAAUUAAUCCCUUGAAAGAGUACGUGGACAAGACUCUGCAUGUUAAGCCAACAUUCAUGAAAUUAAACUAAUUCACAGGAAAAAUAUGAUGAGAAUCGCAAAAGUUGCUGAGGCGACUGAUACAAACCUGUGGUGAUUUUGGUAGAAGUUGUUGAGCUGGUAGUAUCCAUAAAUAGGACGCUUCAUAUGCUUGGGCACCUGAUGAAAAAACAAAGUGGAGGAGAGAUCCCCUGUUAUAAUUAUGGUUAAUGGAUCAUAAUAGCUAACAAAUUAAGAUACGUCUUUUCUAUUCACGUAUCUAUUGAAUUUAUGAAUUUCCUAAAUUCAUCUAUCUUUUAAUUCAUAUAUUUAUUGAGUUUACGAAUAUCUUGAAUUCACGUGUCUCUGGAUUCAUGAAUUUUUUGGAUUCACGUAUCUCUUGAUUCAUGAAUUUCUUGGAUACAUGCAUCUAUUUAAUUCAUGUAUCUCUUCUGUAUAUGACUCUAUAAAUAGAUAAGAGCAUAGAACUUCAUGAGACGGUUUUCGAUAGUACAAUUCGAGACAAUGAUUCCAAAAGAGAUUUGAAAUACUACUAUACUCUUCUGAUUUUUUUGGAUGUACUGGUUCAAUUAAACAGUUCGACUGAGUCCUGUUUGCAUAGUGUUAAUCCAAACAGAUUUGAGGUGUUGUAUUUUGGGAGACAUAGUUCAUGAAUCUGCGGAAUACCAUUGGUAGGAACUAAUCGCCUUAAGGAGAUUCGGAUAUCCGUACCCCACCUCCAAUUUUAUGUUAUUUUUCCAGUAAUAUCUUAUUUUAUUCUUCUUCAAGAUUUGUAAGUUUACAUAAAAAUAAAGAUAUUAUAAAGCUGUUACCGUCUUCUUUACAUUGAUGUUCUGAUUAACAGUUUGCUUUCUCUAGAUUAUAUUCCAACACCCCCUGAGUUUCACAUAAUCGGUGUGAUCUUCUUUCAACUAAUAGUGGACAGUUGGAGGGUUAUUCAAGUUUUAAGUGCAACUAAUGCAUUAUUAAGUCCAGAAAAAACUUACUCUUGACAUCCUGUUGCAGGUUUUGUCCCCAGGUAUCUGUAUGUUCUGGACUCUAUCGGUUCUAUUGGAUGCUGGUAAGCACUCAAUGUCGUACUGAUCAAUCAUCUCGACAGCCUAAAAAAUAAGGAUAUAUAUAUAUAAACUACUGCACAUUAUCAUAAUGAUGAAAGCAACCAGCCUCGGGAUUAAGCUUACAUCACGGGAAGCAAACAAAGAGGCAAGUCCAAUUGGAAGGAAAACAAUGCUAACCAGCAUGAAUGCUGAAAUCACCUGCACAAAAAAUGGGAGACUUCAGUAUUUUUAUCAGGAAUUGGCAAAUGGUUACGAGAUGUACAUAUUUUAGACUUGGUUAUCUUUGAGGGUGCGUUCUUCGAUGGAAGGACAACUAUGUCGUCAUUUUGUUCUUGUUAAAGUCAGGGUGUGACAAUACCUUGUCGAUUUGGGGGUAAAAUGUACAGCACAAAAUGGUUGGUCAUUCACUCUUUCAAAUGGGGUAAACAUUUCUUCUUUUUCUCUCCUUCAGCAAAUGUUCAUUUAGAAUCUUUCAGAACAAAUUACUGUAAUAUAGAAACAUUCGACCGCGAAUAUACAUUCCCAGGUCUGUUUUAGUUGUAGGAUUGCCUCAUGGAUUCUCGAAUUGAAGGAAUUGAUCUGGUUUUAUCCUACAUAAGCAAAUUUUGCUACCCAAAAUAUUUUCUUGACGGAGGCGAAAUAACCCGAAAAUGAAAAGAGAAAACCCCUAACCAACUUGCAGUUAAAGGGGGCCAUCACUAUGGGGUGGUCACCUUCACAAUGACUAUUGCUACAACUUAGAAAGGACCGACACUCUCUGAAAGUUUUCGAGUUGUGUCGGACACUCCGACAUAUGUUCGAUACUUUCGGACAUUCUCUAACACGUAGUCAAUACGUGUUGGAAAAUCCAACACCUGAUCAAUUGUCUUGAUACUCUCCGGCACUCGAGUCAAAAAUACGAAAUGUGAGUUUUUGACACGUGAUUUCAAUACAUGAUAUCAAUUUUUAAAAAUUUCAAUAAAUGAUAGGUUAAAAUGUAUAUAUGUGAAAAAAUAAUAAUAAUAAUAAAUAAAGGAAGAAGAAAAGCCUAAUCUUCUCUUCUUUUCUGACUCUCACUUUUUUUGAUACAUAAUUCACCCUCCAAUGUUUUUUUUUUCCUUUUCUCUACUGACACGUCUGACAUGUGAGUCAAGAAUGUGAAUUGUUUGUUUUUUUCUUUCAAUUUUUAUGGAUAUUGGAAUGGAGUAGAAUUUGUCAAAUUAAAACAAUAAAUGAUACUAAUAAAUUAUGGAUUAAUGUUUUUAGUAUAAACUUAUUCUAAACUUUUUACUAUUAUUAUUUAUUUAUUUGUGAAUUUGAAUCAAAUUAACGUAAAAAUGAUAACUUAUUAUGUAUAUAUAAUACAUUUAAUAUAUAACGUGUUCUAACGUGUCAGAACUCUUUGUUUUUUGAGAAAUGACGUGUUAAUGUGUCUGUUCUGUUGUGUCGCGUGUCGCAUAUCGGUAUCAAUACUAGUUAGGCUACAACUACGGCAAAGGGUGACCAGAGAUGUUCACGACCCCAAUGGCAAAUGAAGAUAGAGAAUCCCUUUACUUAUGUUUUUGUUGAUUUUGUUAUCUUAUCCGGUCGGGUAAAAUUAUCUUCUCCCUAUAGUCCGAACAACUCAUCUGAGUUCUCAUUCAAAUCCAGAUUAUGCCGAUCUAUCCAAUCCGGCUCCUCGAACGUGCCCGCCCUUAUUGUUUAAUGAGCAAGGAUUUCAUUUGCCUAAGUAAACAACGGGGAGGAAACUCCUAGAGUCCUUUACCAAGGGCAGUCCAUAGCUGAAAUCUAUAUGAUGAAGAACAUCAUCUCAUCAGCAGUGGUAUUAAGAUCACCAACGUAGUGCAUCUUCAUCUUUCAAUGGUUUCCAUGCAAAGUAUAAUAAGGGUGCAUUUGGUAAUUGUUCUACUCUCUAAAAUAAUUUCUACUUAGAUUUUUUUUUUUUUUUCUGAUUCUAUUCCUUAAACGAAUUUUUAAGCAUUUGAAGGCAUUUGGUACGAUCCUUAAAUUCUUUUGUGACUUAAAAUUUCUUUUAAUUUUUAAAUAAUUUUAUUAAAUUUUUCUAUUUUUCUUCUUCUUCUUCCUUUAGCCAGUCACCAGCUAAGACCAAGGCCUAUGACUGGCUAAAGGAGGAAGAAUAAAAGGAAAAAAAGAAAAGAAAAUAGAUAAAAAGAAACAACUUUGAUUUUAGAAUUAUUCUUGAGAACAAAAAGUGACUUUUUCCCACUUUUUAGUUCUGUUUCAAAUCUAUUAUUGGAAAUAAAAAAAAUACCAAAAUAGAUUAUUUUUUGAAGAAUAAAAGAAUAAAAUUAAAUAUUAUUUAACAUGUUAUCAAAUAAAUCCUAUGUAAAAGUAGUCCACAUCAAAUUGGGGUCUCAUUUAUCAAGAAGUUGUAGGUUUUCAUUGAGUCGAGUCCGUGCUCGUCUAAAGAAGGCCCCCUGAUGAAGGAACCUCCCCCUUGGACAAGACCCUCAAAUGAUUCGCGUGCUUCUUAUCUUGUUACUUUUACCACUUGGUUUCGACACGGGACAUAAUAGAUUAGGGCGGCCCAUAAGGAGAAGGGAUGACGAUGUCGUAAAGGUGACUUCUUAUAUUUUAUUGCCUCUCACCGCCAGGUGGUUGAUUGAGAAAUGUGCCAUGAUUUGCUUUCAGAUCCUAAGCCUUUUGUGCGAUUCGAGUUGUCGUUUUCCCGGGGCAAGUGGAUUGGUUGGGAUUCCGAAAUGGGACUAUCGUACACGGAAUAAUGCUUAGUUUAUUUGAGCUAUAAUUAGGGUAAGUUAAGUGACGAAGUCGGGGAGCGUGGAAGAUAAGGUUAGGUGUCUUACACUCAGAUGUCACGCUCCUAAAAGCACUCACGACUCCUCUUAUUCGUUCUUUUGCCGUCACCGGAUAGAGAAAGGAGACCAUUUCUUCACGAACGCCUCGUGUGAUAUUGAGGCAAUGCCAUGGCUGUUGUAGUUAUUAAUGAGAGAUUUUUAUGGGGUCAUAACCAAUUGUUCUAAAAAUAUAAAUUGUUAAAUGGAGGUAUAGUUUAAUAUUUAUGAGAUAACUAUCGAUUUUAGAAGUUUAAGCUAUUAGAUCACUCUAACAGCUCAAAUGUCGUUUCAUUCUGAACUUUUUGCUUGGAACGCCAUUUGGGGGAAGGUGGAGUGCUUUUUGCGAUGGAGAAGCGAGAGGAAGCUUUGUCCUCUCCUUUUUCGCUGCCCACCCCAAUUUGUUUAAGGAACAAAUUCAAAAAAGCUUGGCUGUUUUGCUUUCGUGGGGUUUUGCCCCGUUUGGCAACACAGUCCCUGCUCUCUCCCUCUCUCCUUUUGGACUUUGCUCAUAUCAUCAUCAGCAGAAGAAAGUACUAUUACUCUUCUGAAGUUGCAUAAGUUGGGUGAAAUCUCGAGGUCGUGUGAGAACAAAAGCGUGCACAACGUAUCGAUGCUGCGACGUGAGAUGAAAGCGUAACUACUAUCUAAACCGGUAUUUACGGAACAGCUCGGUCGACUCAGUAAUUACAUUUGGGAGAUGUGCUCCUGGGAAGGAGAAGGACAUCUAAGAUGUAAUAUAUGAUGAUGAACAGGAUGUACAAAUGCAGGAAUUGGAAGUUGGCCAUUUGUCUGGUGACGGGAGAUGCUCGCGAAUGCCAGUUUUUUACCAAGUCUCGUUCCUAAUAUUAGGUACGAAGUUCGUCUAAAAUGGUGAGUGAGAGAGAAAGUGGGUUCACCAAUACCUUAUAUUAUUAAUACUAUGUUAUAUUAUAUUAAAUUAUAUUAUAUUAUAUGGUAUCUUUCUUGAGGCCUUCCCAAAAUGCAGUAAUUUAAACGAUACGUGCAUGCGUGGGUGGGUGGGUAUAUAAUAUAAAGAAUGGAAAGGUAGAGAUGAGAGCUUGGGCCUCCCAUCAUCCAAACAGGUCCCCUCCCCGGUGCGUCGUUGUGGCUUGCUUCCUGGAAAACCGACUCCGGAAUUACAGAUUUUCCUGGCGACAAUCAUGGAGCAGAACAGCCCCCAACACCUGAGCGUCACCAUUGGCGAAUCCCGUCGCGAGCUCCUCUCUCCCCUCCCCGACGAUCCUCCCCCUUCCUCCAUGGACGUCUUCGUCGACGACGACGACGGCUACGACGGCUCCUCCGCUCCCUCAUGGCGUCUCAGCCUCACCGAGUUCCACCUCCCUCCCCGCGACCCCCACCGCCGCCGCCCCCUCUCUCGCUUCUCCUGCCGCCACCUUCUCCCUGCUCCGAGUAUCUCUCUCUCUCUCUCUCUCUCUCUCUCUCUCUCUCUCUCCAUGCCGCUUUUUCCGUGGAAGUGAAACUGCCUCCGUCGUAGUGUCAAAAUCCUGGCAUUUCCAUUUCCUUGCUUAUUCGCCGUUAUGUAUCUCUGUUGCGUAAUCCAAGCAUCUCCCGUGUUACACUUCGCACGAUCGCCACCCUCCGUGCGAUCGCCUCAUGCUUCGGCUUCUCUCCAUCGAAAGCAGCGACGCCUUCUCUGGAACGCAUGCGCCGUCGCUAACUCCAUGAAACUACGUUGAUACCUUAGACCAUGCUUUUGACAUUUUCGCUGGUCGACGGAAAUUAACAUGCCGUAUCCUGUCUGCAUCAUUUUUCUGGCAACUUCUCUUGCAGAAGCGCCACAACGUCUGGGACCGACCUGCUGUUGCUUGGUCCGUGUUUGUAUUUAUGGGUGAAUUUGUGCUUGGUCCGCUGGGCAGUGUUCCACCGUGGUGGGAUCCCACAAUAACACAGAUAUUCAUUGCCAAGUACUUGGAAUUGUUGAUUAUGACAUAGCUUUCGAGCCUUUUUUUCUUUUCUUUUCUUCUAGCCAGCACCCAGCAGUAUCAAUCAACAGAAACGCGGAUGAAAGUUAACGAGGUCUGACUUGUUGCUUCAUUAGACCGUCUAAAUCCAUCGCACCGUGUCCUUUCGACUUAGCUUUCUGUAAAACCUGUCAAAACUGAGCGGUACGAGGAAAGUCAUUCCGUAAGCAUCAUUUUAGUGAAAUGGAAAUUGAGUAUGAAGUUUUAAGAUGUUUAGUGGCAUGUAAUGGCUACUCUCACCCGUGGUCAAAUUCAGGUCAUAGUGUUGGGGAGUCAAGUUAUAUUAUAGAAUGUUAUUGUGCUUUCAACAUUAGGAGAAACCGUUCAAGUCUGGAUCUCCUUAUUUUGCUUGUAACUGAC